rnacentral:rRNA from 1 species
GACAGAGGCCUCGAGCGUUAGGCGGAAUCACUGGGCUUAAAGCGUGUGUAGGCGGAUCGUUAAGUACCUUGUGAAAUCCCACGGCUCAACCGUGGAACGGCUGGGUAUACUGGCGGUCUUGGGCCAUUCAGGGGCGACUGGAACAAGCGGUGGAGCGGUGAAAUGCGUAGAUAUCGGGAAGAACACCCGUGGCGAAGGCGGUUCUCUGGGACGGUACUGACGCUGAGACGCGAAAGCGUGGGGAGGCGAACAGG